CCUAUUGAUGAUCAGGAUUUGAUAUCUUACCUUCUUGGUGGUCUGAACCAGGAUUUUAACCCCUUUAUUACAUCUUAUAAUUUUGCUUCCAGGGACAAAGACUUCACCAUUGAAGACUUCAAUGCCGAGCUGCUGAGUCAUGAAA